rnacentral:rRNA from 1 species
UACGAAGGGUGCAACCGUUGCUCGGAAUCAUUGGGCGUAAAGCGCACGUAGGCGGCCUGAUAAGUCGGAUGUGAAAUCCCACAGCUUAACUGUGGACGUGCAUUCGAAACUGCCAGGCUCGAGUAUGGAAGAGGGUCGCAGAAUUCCCGGUGUAGAGGUGAAAUUCGUAGAUAUCGGGAGGAACACCAGUGGCGAAGGCGGCGACCUGGACGGACACUGACGCUGAGACGCGAAAGCGUGGGGAGCAAACAGG